rnacentral:rRNA from 1 species
GAUGAACGCUGGCGGCGUGCCUAAUACAUGCAGGUCGAGCGAACGGACGAGAAGCUUGCUUCUCUGAUGUUAGCGGCGGACGGGUGAGUAACACGUGGAUAACCUACCUAUAAGACUGGGAUAACUUCGGGAAACCGGAGCUAAUACCGGAUAAUAUUUUGAACCGCAUGGUUCAAAAGUGAAAGACGGUCUUGCUGUCACUUAUAGAUGGAUCCGCGCUGCAUUAGCUAGUUGGUAAGGUAACGGCUUACCAAGGCAACGAUGCAUAGCCGACCUGAGAGGGUGAUCGGCCACACUGGAACUGAGACACGGUCCAGACUCCUACGGGAGGCAGCAGCAGGGAAUCUUCCGCAAUGGGCGAAAGCCUGACGGAGCAACGCCGCGUGAGUGAUGAAGGUCUUCGGAUCGUAAAACUCUGUUAUUAGGGAAGAACAUAUGUGUAAGUAACUGUGCACAUCUUGACGGUACCUAAUCAGAAAACCACGGCUAACUACGU